rnacentral:lncRNA from 1 species
GUUCAGAUCCAGUUGAAAUCCGUGACAGAUUGAACACCAUAUGGUAUUUUGAAGAUUUCGGGAGCUACAGAAGUUUGAUUAAGUUGAUUCAAAUUUUGUUGGAAAGUAGACAUCUGUAGCUUUCCAAUGACUAUAAGAACAUGAAAUUUGGAGAUCAGAUGACAUUUAAGGAGUCUCCUGAACUUCAUGCUGAUGUUGGUACCCGAGAAGGAGUUCCACCUAGAUAAAUAUUCAUGGCAUGCGGCUGAAUUCCUUUUGAUGGGUUUCAAUCCACAUGCCAUAGAUAUGGAUCUUAGGUGUCUAGGCUUAGGUGUCAAGGCCUUUGAUUGGUCAAUUAGAAAAUUUAAAUUUUGAAUUGAGUCCACAUGUAAUUAGGAGUCUAAUUUAAAAUUUUGUGUAGUCCUUAUCCUUAUCCUUUGCCAACCUUUCUUUCUAUAUAAAGGAGGGUAUGAUGAAUAAAAUUAGUUUUGGAUUUCGAAAUUCCCUUUGUUUACGUGAAGAGGAGCUAGUCCCUUGCUUGGUGCGAUGCCAAGAUGCUGGAGGAAGAGGUGGGACGCCUCCCGUCACGCCUUCCAAUUUUCAAUUCGUUUGGAUGAGACUUCCAACUAAUUCAUCCUUAUCCAUUCUCUCUCUCCCUUGUUUCACGCCUUGUUUCCUUAGGUGCGCCUCCUUGCAUGCCACAUCAGCCUCCCCAGCCGUAUUCUUCAUGCCACAACCCCUUCCCACGUCCUCCCUUGAGUCCUAAUUCCAAUAGGACUCUAAUAACCCAAGCCGGCCAACCCAUUAGGUGCAAACCAAUUUCAGCCGCCCACUCAAUUGGGUGCCCAAUUCUAGUCACUUGGUUGAUUCCCAUGAACCCAAUCUCACCCAUCCAGCAACCCAUCUUCUUCCUCCUUCCUUCCACCAUAAAGAACCCUAGCCUCCAUUGCCAUUGCUUUGAAAAAAAAAAAAAAAGAGAAAAAAGAUUCAGCCAUCCUCAAAGAAGAAAAAAAAUCUGCAGCCCACCCUGAUUGCGUCACAUGCUGAAAAUAUAUAGAUAUGCGGAAGCAAUUUCACAAACUACCUAGUCAAAUUUUCCAAAUCCAAUUUAUAAGAAUAUCAAAAUACAUAAUAUAUUUUAAAAUAAUCAUGACUGUAAUAAUAACUUGCUUAUCCAUAUUAUCAUAUAUAGGCAGAGAUCAUAAAACUAAUUUAAUAAACUAAUGGGAAUUUUCAUGAGAUCAUUUCUGCUAACAAAUUUUGAACGAAAAAUUCUAUAAAGUGUUAAGUUACUUACCUUUGCUCAAUUCAAAUUCUUAUUUCAAUCAAGUAGGUCAGAUGCACCUAGUCAAGAUCACUGAAAUUCAACAUAUUAGGAGCCAAACAAAAUAAUAAAACUCUAAAGAAUAUAGAUAGAUCCAAUUGAGAUAUUGUUGCAGAUAUGGCUUCAUGCCAAAACUAGGAUGGAAAGAGGAUAGUGCUGGCUAGCUAAUGGUGCUCAACAUCCGGGCUGGUCCAAUCAAGAUAACUACAUUAGAUCAGACAAGUAAGGCUAAGAUACAUAUGGCUCAAUAACGAUCUAGUAUAACUAAACCUAAUGGCGUCCAAUAAAGACUAAGCUUGUGGCCAAGGUUUGGGACUUCUUUGCCAAGAUCAAUGCAGGUUGCAAGAGAGACUCUUUGGCGUCACUUGGCAACUAUAUAGAGAAAGGAGGUCUAAGAAGAGAGAAUGAGAGAUAAAAAAGAGAGAACAAAGGCUAGAGAUUAGCCAAUGGAUAGGGAUUAACCUAAAACAAGGAAUCGAGGCUUCAAUUGAGCUUGGUUCGCUUGCCAAUAGCUGAGGUCCCAUUCAAGCAGUUAUGGCAAGUUGCUAGGUGCUCAACUAGAUCUCCGAUAAAGGACUUGCCAUCAAUCAUAAAUUCAUAAUAAAAAAAAACAUGAAAUAUGGGAGAAGAAAUGAAAACAUGGGAGGUAGAUUACCAUUCAAAGUCUCGCAAUCUUGCAAUGAGAUCCUAGCCGACGAUGGCAUCCUGAUGAAGGGUAAGGUCGGGGAAGACAGUGGCCCCACACCUCGGCUCUGUUGAGGCGUCGAGGUGGGCGACAUGGAGAGGAGACUCAAUGGUAGUGCAAGGGCAAUUUUUUUUGGAAGAGAAGAGAGACACUCCAUGGCGAUGGGAGAGGAGGGGACGGUUUAUAGGUGGAGGUUAGGGUUUCCUAGUCUCCGACAAAGUUAGAGAGGAGCUAGAGUUGGUCUCCUGUUCUGACUCGAACAGGGAAGCUUCGUUCCUGUUUCUCUCUUUUUUUUUGUAUUUGGGUUGUUCUUAGAGUCAGGCCAGUUAAUGGUAUCAAGCCGGCUAAAGGGCUGAGCCUCACAUUCUUUCCCCCAUAAAAUAAUUUCGUCCUCAAAAUUAAUUUACUGAAGGCUCAAACUCUGAAGUAUACAACCCUUAUGUCAUCCUCGAGCUCCCAAAUAGUCUCUGCUCAAAGUACUUGCUUCACAAGAUCUUGACAUAAAAAAUUAUGUGGCAUUUCAAAACUAGAUCGUUUCCAUUCACAAUAUAUAUCGAAUUCUCUUAAUCUCUUUCAAAAGAAUGCCAACCUCCUAACCUUGGAUUAAAAUACUGUAAUUCUUUGCAUACAAAAUUAAUUGCUCUUGAUUAAUUCCAGACAAAAAUCAUAAAUAGCUUAAUCCACUCUUAACAAAAAUAGAAGGCUUGAGCAUUAGACAUUGUUCAUGAUCUACAGCCUUCUUUCUUCUCUUAACUUCUCCUAUGAUUUAAACAAUCAAACUUUUAUCCUAGAAAAAUCUUAAGCUCCUUCAAACAGAUAGAAUAACAAUGUCAGAGCUAGAAGGAGAUUUAUGCCAAAACAUCCUAGGUCCAAGACCAACCAAAGAACCAUCAAUCAGUUAACCCUAAAUUUGAGAUGCCCAAAGUUCUCCCUAGCAUUGUCUACAAUAGGACAACCUACUAGUGAAAAUUGCAUGGCUACAUCCAGAUUAGCUAAAGAAUCAAGAACAUUCUACUUCCAUUUAUCACUAAAAUCCUACAUUACUGGAUAAAAGAGUCAACUCUUCCAUCAUGGUAUCUUUUGGAUCCAUGAAUUUAUGUUUCUAACUAGUUUCAAAAUAACUCAAACCAUUACACUUCUGCUGCGCAGUCUGAUCUAAAUUUACUGAGUUCUCUAGGUUCACUAAAUGAUUUCUGACCAAAAUACUGCUUUGCGCUGGAACUACAAAGAUCCAAAAUUUCAAAUUUUCAAGUAAAACUAGAGCAAAACCUUUGAGCCACUUUGUCCUUACUAUGCCUCGAGCAUACCACAUCAAGAUUAAACCUUAAGCUACUUUCCAUAGUUGAAGCCAUUGCAUAAGCUUCACCAUCCGUCCAAGACAAUAGCUUUAGACCAGUUUCAGUUACGUUGACUUCCUUGAUAAUUCAAUUAGACAAUUCUAGAUCCACUUUCCUCUUAGAAGAUUAACUCCAAACUCUAACAAAUUAGAAGACUCCAAGUCAAUAUGAGUUGAGUCAACUCGAUUAUUUCUCAUAUAGAGCUUCCUUCAUCAUGAUCCCUAGCAUCUAUCAAAACCCUACCUAAAAUCUUAUUCCUUCUAUGUUGAACUCAUAUAAGUCUCCAAAAAUCAAUUCCUUCAUUCAAUUCAACAAUAGUAGCAAGAUACCCUAGAUCUGCUCAUAAACCAAGACAUUGACUUGAAGUUUAAUGCACCCAAUAGUCUCCAACAAAUACAAGGAUGAUAAAGUAAUCUGAUCCAAAGAUAGUAAUUUAAAUUAUCAAAGAUUUCACCAAGAUGUAUAUCCCAUGUCCUGUAAUUGAUCGAUGGAACCAAAUAUAUUUUUCUUCUAUAUGCCAAUUUAAUACAUAAUCUACAUAUAGGUGCAGCCUUAGAGAAUAUUCCACUCUGAUACUCUGAAACUCUUUCUUAACUCAACCCCACUUAUUGAAAUGAGAGAUAGAAAUCCUCUAGCCUAUCUGUACUCAUCGUAUGCCAAACCGUAUGCAUAAAGUUUAUCACAAUACCUAGCGAUCUUAAAUCUAAGCUCUAAAUCCAUUUCCUCUACUUCUAUCAUAUCCUUAGUGAUUAUAAACCUAAGCUCUGAUAUCGCUUAAUUUGUCAUCCCUCGAACUCAAACCAUAACAAACGCCGCAUGCCUACAAAGCAAACCAUACAACUAUGCAAGACUACUGAUCCAGUCAUUUUAAAUUUAGAGCAAUAAUAUUUUUGUUUGCAAUUUUCAAAAAAUAGUUUAAUAAAGAUUCUAUCAAAUCAUUCUUAUAAACAAAUAUUCCAAAAUAAUAAGAGUCAUAUUGUUCCAAUUUCCAACCAAUUAUUAUCAUUUAAACCAAAUAAAGUCUAAAGAAAACUAAACUAAACUAAACUAAACAAAACCAAACUAAGAAGCCCAAAUAAUAACGAAUAUCUUUAGGAGAUCUAGCGCACUUCCUCAUGUCCCGAGCAAUUGAUGAUUUAGGAUCUAGAAAAUAGAAAAGGAAAGAAUAAUUAGCGACACUAGCCUAGUAAGCAACGUAACACAUCAAAGUGGGGUCUAAGCAUACCAAACAAAUAAAUAAUCAAACGACAUAAAACUGACAGGGAAGAAAUCAAACCUUGAAUAAUAUAUAUAUUUCCUUUCAAAAUUUAUUCUUUAUAAAUUGAUAUUAGGCCCAAUUUCUGGCUAUGGCCAUGUAAACUAGUGGCAUGGGUCAAAUAACAGAUACAGGGUGUGUCAGAUAACAUAUUACAAUACUGCUAUUCUAAUUACUGACGGCUUGAUUUUGAAACUAGUUUUUCAGAUUACAAAUCAACAGGACCAACAUAUAAUCUCUUUUGGCGGGGCUAGAUCAUAGCCUUGCUGAGAAUAUAUAAAAAAGCAAUUUCACAAACUACCCAGUCAAAUUUUUCAAACCCAAUUUAUAAGAAUAUCAAAACACAUAAUAUAUUUUAAAAUAAUCAUGACCGUAUAAUAACAUACUUGAUUCAUUAUCAAAGGCAGAGAUCAUAAAAGAAAUUUAAUAAACUAAUAGUAAUUUUCAUGAGAUCAUUUCUUUUAAGAAAUUUUGAAUCAAAAACACUAUGAAGUGUUGGGUUACUUAAGUCUUCUCGAUUUGAAUUCUCACUUCAAUCAAGCAGGUCAGAUACACCUAUUCAGUGUCAUUGAAAUUCCAGAUAUUAGAAGCCUAACGAAAUGAGAAAUCCUGAAGAAUCUAGAUAGAUCCAAUUGAGGUAUUGGUGGGGAUAUAGCUUCAUGCCAAAACUAGGAUGGAAAGAGGACAGAGCUAGCUAGGGGGUGGUGCUCAACAUUCCGGCUGGUCAAAUCAAGAUAACUAAGUCAGAUCCAACUGGUCGGGCGGAGAUACAUACAGCUUAAUAAUGAUCGAGGGUAACUGAACCUAGUGUGUUUGAUAAGGACCAAGGUGGAGGCCAACAUGUUGUCGGCUAAGGUUUAGGACUCUUUUACUAAGAUCAAUGCAGGUUGCAAGAGAAAGACUCUUUAGGGUCACCUGCCAACUAAUUAGAGAAAGGAGGUCUAAGAAGAGUGAGAAAGAAUGAGAGAUAAAGUAAGAGAGAAAAAUGGCUAGAGAAAAGUGUUUCAGUUGCUUGACGAUGGUGCUGAAGGCUUGGGUCAGGGACCAUCGUGGAUGGCGGAAUCAAGCUGGUGGCCGGCAAUAGAAUUUUGAAUAAAGAGGGGCGAAACAGGGGUUUAGUGUAACAACCAUGGACCUCACCCAAAAUGGCUAGCUGGAAGGUAUUAUUUGGGUUUCUUGAUUUUGUAUAAGUACCCAAGAUAUAUCUAGUGGAUAACCAAUGUGGGACUAACACACGCUCGAACAGGUACUCACAUGCUCCCCCUAUUCAAGUCCUGACGUCCUUGUCAGGCUAAGGGUUCAAAUCCAUUCAAAUCUAAUCACAAAUACUAUGAUCGGCCUAUGGUCAGCACCAAUGGAUCCGUGAUGCAGCGUCUCCUAGUCCACAUAGGUUAUGGGUGGGUCCGUUCUGAUACCAUUUGUCACAUUCUCACCCAGAAUGGCUAGCCGGAAGGUAUUAUUUGGAUUUUUUGAUCUUGUCUAAGUACCCAAGAUCUAUCCAGCAGAUAACCGAUGUGGGACUAAACAGACGCUCGCACAGGUCCUCACAUUCAAUGGGUUCUUUGGGUUGCUUUGCCAAUUGUUUUAUCAUCAUACCACACCACGUAUUGAAGUUUCAGUAGUAUAACCAAUGUCUCUUGCGUUCAUUCUAAUAACUUGAUGACCAAACAAUAACAAUAUACAGGAAUUACUCUUUGGUGCUUGUCUUUCCACUAUACUUGCUUCAUUGCUUCAGGAUCAUAUCCAUGUCAUUUUAAUCUACUUUGACUUUCUACAAGUUUGUCUCGUUAUCUUGCAACUUUGCAUGGUUGAUCUGCACCUCAAUCAGUUAAAUCAGCUAGCAAGCCUAGUUGCAGUUGUCUAAAUCAGCUAACUCACCUAAUAACUUUCUUGCUCUAGUGGCCUUCAUAUCUUGCAAAACUAUGGUUUUGUUAUGUCCAUUUUAGACUCACUUUAUCAUUCUUUCAGUUUCAUGAUUAUCCUUCAGGGGCACACUGCUGAUCAUGAUCUGCACUACCAGAAAUACCUGGAAACUUAGAAUCACAUAACUCAAUGGUCUGUCACCUACGAUGAAGCGGUUAAAAAAUGGAGGGUACAAGUUGUAUUAGUUUGCUAAUAUACAUGAUUGAAUAUCCAGUGUGAUCUUGAUCUAUGUUAUGGUUUAGACUUUAGAGUUUGGUAGGUUUUGAUGUUGCGUUCAUAGAAAAAUAUCAUAUCAUGCAGUCAAACCUAUCGAUAUUUGCACCUGCUUCACGCAUAAGUAGAGGACUCCAAAACAUAUAAUUUGAGUGGCUCAUCAUCAAUCUAUGAGUUGUUAAAUAAUACAGAUGCUACAUUUAUUUUUCCGUAAGUAUACUACAUAAAAAAUGAAUUCAUAUAUUGUAGAUUUUUUGAGUCAAACAAGACAUAAGUACCUUGAAUGAUUGAACUGCAAUUUUCUGGACAAAUGUAUUUGCAAUAAAAUUUUUCUUUACUAAAUCUACUUUCUCAUGGUAUAUUGCAUAUCUCCUGCACAUUUUCCCUCUCAAAACAUGAAAGUUGGAUGCUAUCAGUAACUUCCCUGAAAAAAGACCUACAUGUGUUAUUAUGUGAAUGCAAAAACAAUUUUCCCUCGUUACAUCUGUUCAUGAUUAUUAAGGAUAUAAACAAAUUAAAACUAGAUUGUUGCUCAUAGAGACUGCUGAGUAAUUUGUAUGGAAAUAUUUGUAAUGCAG